UAGGGAAUCUUCCACAAUGGACGCAAGUCUGAUGGAGCAACGCCGCGUGAGUGAAGAAGGUUUUCGGACCGUAAAGCUCUGUUGUUGGUGAAGAAGGAUAGAGGUAGUAACUGGCCUUUAUUUGACGGUAAUCAACCAGAAAGUCACGGCUAACUACGUGCCAGCAGCCGCGGUAAUACGUAGGUGGCAAGCGUUGUCCGGAUUUAUUGGGCGUAAAGCGAGCGCAGGCGGAAGAAUAAGUCUGAUGUGAAAGCCCUCGGCUUAACCGAGGAAUUGCAUCGGAAACUGUUUUCUUGAGUGCAGAAGAGGAGAGUAGAACUCCAUGUGUAGCGGUGGAAUGCGUAGAUAUAUGGAAGAAUACCAGUGGCGAAGGCGGCUCUCUGGUCUGCAACUGACGCUGAGGCUCGAAAGCAUGGGUAGCGAACAGGAUUAGAUACCCUGGUAGUCCAUGCCGUAAAACGAUGAGUGCUAAGUGUUGGGAGGCUUCCGCCUCUCAGUGCUGCGGCUAACGCAUUAAGCACUCCGCCUGGGGGAGUACGACCGCAAGGUUGAAAC
rnacentral:rRNA from 1 species